GACGAACGCUGGCGGCGUGCCUAAUACAUGCAAGUCGAGCGGAGUGUGAAAGGAAGCUUGCUUCCUUUCACACUUAGCGGCGGACGGGUGAGUAACACGUAGGCAACCUGCCCUCAAGCCUGGGAUAACUACCGGAAACGGUAGCUAAUACCGGAUAAUGUCGUAAGACCAAAGAUUUAUCGCCCAGGGAUGAGCCCGCGUAAGAUUAGGUAGUUGGUGAGGUAAAGGCUCACCAAGCCGACGAUCUUUAGCUGGUCUGAGAGGAUGAUCAGCCACACUGGGACUGAGACACGGCCCAG
rnacentral:rRNA from 1 species